GAGCGCCCCGCAAGGGGAGCGGCAGACGGGAGAGUAACACGUGGGAACGUGCCCUUUGGUUCGGAACAACCCAGGGAAACUUGGGCUAAUACCGGAUACGUCCGUAAGGAGAAAGAUUUAUCGCUGAAGGAGCGGCCCGCGUCUGAUUAGCUUGUUGGUGAGGUAACGGCUCACCAAGGCUACGAUCAGUAGCUGGUCUGAGAGGAUGAUCAGCCUCACUGGGACUGAGACACGGCCCAGACUCCUACGGGAGGCAGCAGUGGGGAAUAUUGGACAAUGGGCGCAAGCCUGAUCCAGCCAUGCCGCGUGGAUGAUGAAGGCCUUAGGGUUGUAAAGUCCUUUCGGCGGGGAAGAUAAUGACGGUACCCGCAGAAGAAGCCCCGGCUAACUUCGUGCCAGCAGCCGCGGUAAUACGAAGGGGGCUAGCGUUGCUCGGAAUCACUGGGCGUAAAGCGCACGUAGGCGGCUUUUUAAGUCAGAGGUGAAAUCCUGGAGCUCAACUCCAGAACUGCCUUUGAUACUGGAGAGCUUGAGUCCGGGAGAGGUGAGUGGAACUGCGAGUGUAGAGGUGAAAUUCGUAGAUAUUCGCAAGAACACCAGUGGCGAAGGCGGCUCACUGGCCCGGUACUGACGCUGAGGUGCGAAGGCGUGGGGA
rnacentral:rRNA from 1 species